GCUGGAUCCUCCUUGUGCCCCUGUAGAAAGGCUGGAGAUAAGGACGUAGGUGCUACUGGGGCGAAGCACAAGAAGCAUGGAGAGUGGCCUGCAAGGUUGUGCUUGAAGAAGAAAAAUAGCCGUGUUCCAGUUUCUGCCUUCCAAAGAACUGAUACAGACUGCAGCAAUGAGCUUACCUCAUGGCACUGAUCCCUGGGAAUUAAGCAGCUUCAGAAAAAUCACUGGGCUUCUUCAUUCAUAAGAAAUAUAAGGAAAGUGUGUCUGUACAGCGUCUGGCAAAGUAGUCCCCUGAUCCCUUGCUGGACAGGGAGGAGCUGCCAGCAUUAAGCACCAAGGGAGCAAGCUGAUAGGAAAUGCAUCUGACCUAUUGAGGUGGCACGAAGGCUGAAGUGUGAUCCUGGUGAAGGGGAAAUUCAGAGAAAUUGCUCCAUCAAGUGUUGAAAGGCUUGUGUGAUGUGGAGAAUUGCUUCAGUGCAGAAAGACUGUAAACCUGUUCAAUUAAAGGAAGUGCUCAGAUCCAGCUGUUGGUGUCCCAUGAAUGCCAGCGGUCCCAGCAAAGUAAAUAAGGCAGACACACUCCGCCUUUGGAACAGAUACGAAGAUUUGCGUCUUAAUUCUCCUGAAAGAAGAGUCUUUGUUUGGAAAAGACCGUUAGCAAAAUGAAAUAGAUGGGAGCAGAAGGGCAGUAUGACACAGAAGAAGCAAAGGUGUGUCACUGAACUCCUCCAUACAGGAAAAAAAUGGCACUAUUGAAAACAGAGUGAACACAAAUAUCCAUAAAGCAAAUGCAAACAAAAACAAUGCAAAGUUAACCUAAACGAAAAAUAAAUGUAAGCAAAGUUAAUGUAAACAAAGUCAAUGUAAAUGUAAACAAAAACAAUGUAAACAAAAGCAAACAAAAAACAAUCUAAACAAAAUAGAAGCUAACAUAUGCAAACUUAAUGUAAACAAACUAAAGGUAAACUAAAACAAAGUAAAUGAAAACAAAAUUAGUGUAAAUGCAAACAAACUUAACAUAAAUGUAAACAAAGCUAAAGUAAACAAAAACUUAAUGUAAAUAAAAACAAAGCUAACAUAAGCAGAGUUAACAUAAAUAUAAACAAAGCUAAUGUAAACAAAAUAGAUGCUAACAGAAACAGUUAACAUUAACCAAGUUAAUGUCAACCAAAACAAAGCUAAUGAACUUAAGGUAAACAAAAACAAUGUCAUGCAAACUAAAAGAAAGCUAAUGUAAACAAAUUAAUGUAAACAUAAAAUUAACAUAAACAAAUACAAAAUAUAAACAAAAGCAAAGUUAAUGUAAACAAAGGUACCGUAAACACAAGCAAAGCUAAUGUAAAGAAAAACAAGGUGAACGUAAACAAAAUAGGAGCUUAUGUAAACAAAGUUAAAGUGAGCAUAAACAAUUUUAAUGUAAAGAAAAACAAAGCUAAUGUAAACAAACUUAAUGUAAAUGAAGUUUUAAUGUAAACAAAGUUAAUGUAAUUGAAAACAGUUAAUGUAAAGAACAGCAAAGCUGAAGUAAAUAAAGCUAACGAAAACAGACCAGGUAAAUGAAAACAAGAUUAAUGUAAACAAAAAAAACGUGAACAUAGAAAAAUCAACGUCAUCAAAAACAAAGUUAGCAUAAACAAAGGUAAUGUCAACAGAAAUAAAUUUAAUGUAAACAGAAGGAAGUUAAGGUAAUGACAACGUUCAUGUAAACAAAGUAAAUGCAAACAAAGCAAACGGACA